UAAUUGGAUUUCUUUAAAUCCAUCACACAGUAGAAACAUGUUGUUAG
rfam:Astyanax mexicanus Tnplaced_Scaffold_44, whole genome shotgun sequence.